CUCAAGUAAUGUCACAUGGCGAAUGAACCACCACAUGCCCAGCUCCAGCUCAAGACACAAGAAGCUCUGGCAGCUCAGAAGACGCAUUGCAACCUUUAGGACUCGUCUCAGUAAGGGUACCCUGGACUGACCUAUCCUUGACCGACCCGAUGGAAGUCCCACCAGGGCAAGGAGCCUGUCCUCCUCACCACUGCGUCCCGAGGACCACGGAUGGGGACUGGCAACACAUUGGGUUCAGUAUCUCGUAAAUAACCCAGAUUGGUCUCUGCAGAUGGAAUGUGGAACCCUGUCCUGGCUGCUGACGGACUCACUGACUUGCACAGGACUCAAUGCAUCAGGUCUCCUUCAUCAUCCCAACUCACUUGGGAGCUACUCUUGGUCAUCUUUUGACAGCCGUGUGACUCCCCCAGGUCAGCUGCAUCCUUCCCUCUUCCAAAUCCCUGUGGUGCACAUCAUGCAGAGACUUCUAAAGAACUCACCAUUGGGCUUUGGAGUGUGGUGACUAAGAUGAUGUUUCAGACUGGAAGACGCCCAUCCUACUGAGGGAAUGACAAAGGCAGAGCAAGGACAUUUGAAAACGUGUGCUUCGAACUGUGAGAACACAAAAUGCCCUAGCUUCCACGAGUCCAGAGCCCUUGGAUCUCCCUAAAGAUGCCACAUCGGGCUUCUUGCACCAUUUCAUCAUUGUCAUGUGUGGGCCGUCUAUUCCAUGAACUACUGGACGAAAUUCACCCAUGAUAUUUCAAGCUGUCAUCCCUCUCUGGACCUGCUGUGAUAUGCUGGGACUGCAGACACACUCACUUUGCCACUGGCUCCCUGGAAGGCUCUGCCAGGCAGAGGAAGAUGGCCCCAUUCUUCCUGUUCCCUGAAUUUCUAGAGGACCUUCAAAUCCCCCAUGUGAGCGUCUGGAGCCUGCAGAAGCUGACUCACUGAUGCGGUGCAUCCUAUUGUGAGUGGUGCGAGGUCAGACAUAACCAGGUCCACGCACACUUGUGUGUCUCCACAAGGUCAGACUUUACUGAUGUUAUUUCAAUCACAAAAGCCAUGAGUUCCAUGGGGUUCCCGAGGAGGUAGUUGUCCUUAGAACUUCCUGUUUACUCAGUAGUCAGACCCACAAGCAUGCAGGCUCAAGCCACACCACAGGUCAAUCAAUAUUGCAAACCAUAUGUGACAACAUACUUAAUCAAUAUAUAAAUGUUACAGAUUAAAGUUUUCACAUCAGGGUGACAUUUAACAUCAAGAGAAAAGGGCAUAGGAAAAAAAGGAUGAAUGAACCAAUUCAAUGAGAGAGGUGUGGACAAAGAGUGUCCUGGCCUGAUCCUGACAGUCCUCAACCUCUUUCAAGGAAGAGUCUUUGAUUUGGGCACAGCCUUCAUUGGCAGAUGGCUG
rnacentral:lncRNA from 10 species